rnacentral:rRNA from 1 species
AGCUAGUUGGUAGGGUAAUGGCCUACCAAGGCGACGAUCGGUAGCCGGCCUGAGAGGGUGAUCGGCCACACUGGAACUGAGACACGGUCCAGACUCCUACGGGAGGCAGCAGUGGGGAAUUUUGCGCAAUGGGCUAACGCCUGACGCAGCAACGCCGCGUGGAGGAUGAAGGUCCUUGGAUUGUAAACUCCUGUCAGCAGGGAAAAAGCAACUCAACCUCAUACGUUGAGAAGUUGAUUGUACCUGCAGAGGGAGCCCCGGCUAACUCUGUGCCAGCAGCCGCGGUAAUACAGAGGGGGCAAGCGUUAUUCGGAAUUAUUGGGCGUAAAGGGCGCGUAGGCGGCCUGACAAGUGGAUGGUGAAAUCCCUCGGCUUAACCGAGGAACUGCCAUCCAGACUGUUUGGCUUGAGACCGGGAGAGGUGAGUGGAAUUCCCAGUGUAGCGGUGGAAUGCGUAGAUAUUGGGAGGAACACCAGUGGCGAAGGCGGCUCACUGGACCGGUACUGACGCUGAGGCGCGAAAGCGUGGGGAGCAAACGGGAUUAGAUACCCCGGUAGUC